UUGAACUGAUUUAUGCUUUUUACUAGAUGAUGUGCUUAGGUGAGUGAUGUAGCCCAUGGGCCUCUGGUUUCAUUUUUACUUUUAGUCUUAACACACUUGUUUGAGUAUUUUACCUUUGGUGUUAUUAGGUCAGGAGUAAUUAGGCUGGUAUCAAUUCCAAAAGGUGUUUUUUUCUCAUCUCAUUUUAUAGGAACUGUGACCUCUCUUAAUGACUUGUCUCAAUUCUACUGUAGAGUUGCAGUUUGAUGUAGCCCCCUGUUCCCAGCACUGUUAAGAGAAGACUAGCUCCAACUAAAAGAUGGUGAAAAACCUGGAAAUGGCAAGACCAAUGUAUGUGCAUCCUUCAAGAUGUAGAAAUGUUCAGCAACAGCAAGACAUGAAUUCAUUGAAAUGGUGGAAAAACAAGGGAAAAGGCAAUGGAUAACGACUCUUUAAGAUGUGGAAAUGUACUAAUUCAGCUCAACAUGAAUUCAUUAAAAUGAUGGAUGGAAAAACGGGGAAGAAGUAAAUCUGUAUGUAAUUAUAGAUGUUGACCCUUCAAGAUUUGGAAAUGGGAGAUACAACUAGACAUAAAUUGAUGGAAACACCUGGAAGACAAAGUUUGAUGGACAUUAACCUUCCCAACAGCAAGACUUACCACAGUGGACAACAGUCAAUGAUCAGGCAUGUGACAUAAUAAAUGAUCCAAAAUCUUUUUUUCUUG